UACGUAGGGGGGCAAGCGUUGUUCGGAAUUACUGGGCGUAAAGCGCACGUAGGCGGAUUGUUAAGUCAGGGGUGAAAUCCCGGGGCUCAACCCCGGAACUGCCUUUGAUACUGGCAUUCUCGAGUCCGGAAGAGGUGAGUGGAAUUCCGAGUGUAGAGGUGAAAUUCGUAGAUAUUCGGAGGAACACCAGUGGCGAAGGCGGCUCACUGGUCCGGUACUGACGCUGAGGUGCGAAAGCGUGGGGAGCAAACAGG
rnacentral:rRNA from 1 species